CCUACGGGAGGCAGCAGUGAGGAAUAUUGGUCAAUGGACGAGAGUCUGAACCAGCCAAGUAGCGUGAAGGAUGACUGCCCUAUGGGUUGUAAACUUCUUUUAUCUGGGAAUAAGUUGUUCCACGUGUGGGAUUUUGUAUGUACCAUAUGAAUAAGGAUCGGCUAACUCCGUGCCAGCCGCCGCGGUAAUACGGUGGAUCCGAGCGUUAUCCGGAUUUAUUUGGUUUAAAGGGAGCGUAGGUGGAUUGUUAAGUCAGAUGUGAAAGUUUGCGGCUCAACCGUAAAACUGCAGUUGAAACUGGCAGGCUUGAGUACAGUAGAGGUGGGCGGAAUUCGUGGUGUAGCGGUGAAAUGCGUAGAGAUCACGAAGAACUCCGAUGGCGAAGGCAGCUCACUGGACUGCAACUGACACUGAGGCUCGAAAGCGUGGGUAUCAAACAGGAUUAGAUACCCGGGUAGUC
rnacentral:rRNA from 1 species